rnacentral:rRNA from 1 species
AACGAACGCUGGCGGCAUGCCUAACACAUGCAAGUCGAACGGAACUUCGGUUCAGUGGCGGACGGGUGAGUAACGCGUGGGAACCUAUCUUAUGGUACGGAAUAACGCAUGGAAACGUGUGCUAAUACCGUAUAAGCCCUACGGGGGAAAGAUUUAUCGCCAAAAGGAGGGCCCGCGUUGGAUUAGGUAGUUGGUGGGGUAAUGGCUCACCAAGCCGACGAUCCAUAGCUGGUUUGAGAGGAUGAUCAGCCACACUGGGACUGAGACACGGCCCAGACUCCUACGGGAGGCAGCAGUGAGGAAUCUUGGACAAUGGGGGAAACCCUGAUCCAGCCAUGCCGCGUGAGUGAUGAAGGCCCUAGGGUUGUAAAGCUCUUUCACCGGUGAAGAUAAUGACGGUAGCCGGAGAAGAAGCCCCGGCUAACUCCG